UUGUUGUGAAGCCACUGAGUAAAACCCUUGUGCUCUUCCGACGAGCUUGGAGGCACGGUCUUGCUCUUCAGUCAGUGCAUUAUCGAUCAUCAUAGUGCUGCCAAAGCCUGCAGCGGUACCAUUUGGUGGCCCAAUAAUUCUAACAGAGGUUGGGUUUUUGCCACCAAGGAUGUCAUGGAAGAAAAAGUGGAGGUGGCUUAAGUUUUCUGUUUUCCCGCCGGAUCUGACGAAUUGCCUGAUUAGAACUCCAUCAAUGGAAUAGAGAAAGGUUGAGCAGAGGAUGAAGAUAGAGUAGUAGAGAAACGAAGACAUAUUAAUCUCUCUAGCUAGCUAGUAUGUCACUCUGAGGGGGAGAGAGAGAGAGAGAGAGAGAUUAGACUUGUAGUAAGAAAUGUGGUAUGUGGUCACUAUAAAAGAGGAGGAAGAGGGCAAGUUUUAGAAGUUGUUAAUAUGUCCAAGUGAGAGAUUGAGAAUAUAUAUCCUGUUUACAAAAAUUCUAUUGUGCUCCGGAGUAUCUUAUAUUUCGAGUUUUUUAAUUGUUAGAUUUAGUUAUUGUGUGUUUUAGCUACAAGACAGCUAAAAUUCUUGAGUAACCGAUACUCCAGAGUAUCAUAAAAAAUCCCAACUUGCUUAAUUAUAUAAUGGUUGGUCUGGUUGAUGCAUUUUCAAGCAACAACUGCUUUUUGUUGGGUCUACAAGAGUGUUUAGCUUUUAAUUGCUUUAACACAACAUGGAAAGCUUGAAUCCUUUUUAAGGAAAGAAAGAUUGAACUCCAUUGAUGGCUAACCAAAUGUCAAACACUACAUGAAACUUUGAAAUUUUGUUUUAGGAAUCGACAGACAUGAGUUUGGUGUUCGGUUGUAAGGUUAUGUGAGACUUAAGUUAUGCCACCUACAUGAUGAUGACCACGAAAACAAUGAUAACAACAAUUGACUUUCUGUUUGGCCCUGAUUUUACACUUGGGCAUAUCAAAUAUCUAUUGCAUUAAGUAAUGAGCUGGAGAUUGAGCGCAAAAGGUAACAUGAGCCCUAGAUUUAUAUUGGGCUAUGAAAGGAAUGAAUAAUAUGCAAGUCAAAUUAUGCAUUCUGAUAUUUUAUUACUCAAAUUGAGCGUAAAAGGUAACAUGAGCCCUAGGCUAGGGGUACUCUGAUAUUUUAUUACUCAAAUUAUGCAUUCUGUUAUCAAUUUUUAUAUUUUAUUGUUAGUUUUUGGAUUUAUUUUGUUCAUUAUUUUUAUAUAAAGUAUACAAUUAUAUAUUAAAAAGGAUAAGCAUGCUAGUAUAUAUACCAAAACAUUAAUUAAAUUUAUACACAAGCAUAUAUAUAUAUAUAUAUAUAUAUAUAUAUAUAUAUAUAUAUAUCUAUAUAUAUUAAGAGAACAUAAAUUACAUGUACAAAAAAACUCGAGAAUAUUCAAAACAUAUAAAUGAUCUAAAUCUUUAAAAUAUGUUUCGAGAGUUUUGAGAUUACUCCGAUUCCAAAAAUUUCCAAAAUUAAAAAUAUUAGUCCAAUCUGAUCCGAUUCUCAAAUUUUAAAACAAAAAUUAAAAAAAAUUGUUUCCGAUCGGAUCCGCCCGAAAAUCACCCCUACCCAAAACAAAAUAAUAGUACAUAAGAUUAUAUCUUUUUUUUUAAUGGGCUACUCAUUAAUAAACCCUCGACUAGUCAAAAACCCUAGGUACUGGAGGAACACUAUGGUGAGGCGGAAGAGGGAGCAGUCGGAGUCGCAGUCCCAGAAUUUAUCCACUAGGAUGGUGAAGCGGAAGUUGGAAGACGAAUCGACAACAACCGAAGAGAAAACAGAAGAUGAUGUCACGCAUAAUGCCAUUAUACCGUCCCCGCCGAAUGUUGAGGUCCGGGCAACUUUUAUUGUAGACAAUGCCUCUCUGAGAAAGGGUGUCGUUCGAAAGGUACAGGAGAAACUCUUCAAGCAAAUAUUUCUUUAAUAUUCCAGUACAAAAUUAAAUUUGACAUUUUUGUAAUUAAUUUUUUUUUUAAUUUUUUUAUCUAGAAUUAUAUUUCCUCAAUUUCAUUUUUAUUCCUCAGAGGUGGGAUAAGAUUCUAGAUUCAGAGGAAGACGCGGAUUUCCUCAAACAAAAGAAAGAUGUGAAUGAUUAUAGGCCUGGGAGUUGUCUACCCGGUUUGCUCUUGAGCUAUAACUUAGACGUUACAUAGAUACAUUUUUAUGUCAUUUGAACUCCAUCUCAAAGUCGUAACUUUUUUAUAGUAUGGUGAUAGUGUUAUUGGUUAGACAGUUAGUCUAUAGGGGGAAGAGAGUCGGUGGAGCUUGAACCUGCACCAGGGUUUAUGGGCACGAUGUUUCUUUUCACCACUACGGUAAAGUGUCAUCUGCAGCUCAAAGUCAUAACUUUGAUAAACUAUAAACUGCUUUAUUAGACUUGGGAUUAUAUUCUUUGGUUAAUGAAAAUCCUUAUAUAAAUUUGGUUAGGUUUCUAUUUGAAACUCAAACUAAUGGAGUUGUAUUAUUAGGUCAAUGAAAAUACUUAUAAAUAAAUGAAAAUGUAAUUGAUAACUAUAAGGUGUUGAUAUCAUUGUUGAAAAAUAUCAGUGACAACUUAGUGAGUUACUAAUACAAAUUCUGCCGACGAUUUGUACCAGAGAAUUUCUGGAUGCAUAAAAGGACCUUAGCUUUGCAAAUUUAGGGUCUAAAUAGAUCAAUCCAUUUGUUUAUAUGAGAGAAAAUUUAAUUCCAAACCUUCAAUUUUCUGAAGUAACUUUUGGAUUUUAUUAACAUAUCAAGACAGUAAAGUCCAAUUAAACAAUUUAUACUGUAUCAUUCUAUCCUUACAGACCUUUAAAUUAUAAUAUCAAUAUAUCAUCAACCAUAAGUUCAUUCAUUGGAAUUGAGAUUAGCAUAAGCUUACUGUAUGCCACCAAGGUUUUAGCAUUGGAUCAUGCAUGUCUUUCUAAUACUUAGUCUCUGUUUUUUUUUUCUUUUACUGUGUUUAAUUUAUAAUUCAUGCUUUUAAGUGUUUUACCCGUCCAGGCUCUUCGUUCAAUUUUUGAUAGCAAACUUAAUAAAGCUGGUAUGGUAGGAGCUGUGUAUGUAAAAACAGAUAAUGGAGUGUUAUUUGAGAUUAAACCCCAUGUCCGUAUACCAACUACCAAAGAACGUGUAGGCGCUUUUGUGGAGUCAUGCGUAAGUUAGCUUCUACUCCUAGUCGUUUGAUAUUCACCUUUGCACCAUUCUGCCUCUUCAAAAUAUCAUGGAACUUACUAAUUGCUUUGUGUUUUGACUUCUGCAAUUUCUAAAGUGGAGUUACUAGAUAAAAAAUGCAUACGGACCAAAGAUACAAAUGAAAUUCUUAUGCGCGUCAUUGCGGAACCUGUAACCCGACAUUUACCAGUCAACUCUCGUGUAGUAGGUGAGCAUUGCCUACCUUUAUUUAGCAUUCUGAGCUUACUGACUAGAACUAAAGCCGGUUGCACUGGGUUUGCAGGUCUCUCUUAUAGUUCAUAAAAACUGGUUGAUAUUGAUGACUAUGUUAAUUCUGCCAGUGAUGAAUUGAAUCUUGUUUUUGUGGUAUGUUUGAGAUUCUAAAUUCCAGUUCAUAGGUCUCUGCUUCAUGAUCCGUUUUGUAUUUGAAAUUUUAAACACUUUUCAUAUUUUUUCCAGUUGAAGAUUAGUGAAAGAAUGGAAAACUGUUAUUACAUUUGCACCCAUUUUGAAGCUCUCGAGGUUUCUUCAAGAGAGAGAGAGAGAGAGAGAGAGAGAGAGAGAGAGAGAGAGAGAGAGAGAGAGAAAGAACAGUGAACAAGAGAAAAGUUAGGCGUGCGUGGUGCAUCAGUUUGUGAAAAUAAAAAUAAAAAAAUUUUAAAAAAUAGCUUUUCAUUUUGAAAAUAAAAAGUUUUUAUGGUUAAUCCAUGUGACACCAUGUGAUUCAAUUGGUUAUACAUUUAUAUGUCACAUCAACACACAAACAUAAAAUUUGAUAGAAAUUUAAAGGAAUGACCAAAUUGAUUUGCGAGAUUCUUGCUCUUUCAGGCUUUUAUCCCUCUCUCCUUUCUCUUGGUUGAGGUCCUCUGGUUGCUCUGGGAUCUCAUCAAGCGUCAGUUACCACGAGCUAGGGUUCGAAUCGGUAUCAUAGCGUAGUUAAUUAAAUCGAACAUGCAAUUGCCCACAUUUUGAUCGCUAUUUUUUUUUUUUUGUAAUUACUUUUUUUUUUUUGUAAUUACCUAAUUUAUGAAUGAAAUCCAGUAUUUGAUGAUAAAAAAAAAAAAGAAGAUAUGCGGACUUGAUAAAAAGAAAAAUAGUGACUGUUGAUAACUUAGUGUUAAAAAGAAAAAUAGUGACUGGUGAUAACUUAAAGUGUUAGAAACGAAAUUUGGUAGUGACUUUGAUUUAAUUUCUAGUUAAAAGAUUGAUUGCCUUAAAUUCCACACCAUUUUAAAAUCCAUCAUAAGAUACUAGUAUAUUUCAAAGGGAUUAUUCUUAGUUAUAAGAUUAACGUAGCCAUUCCCUGAUUAAGUACAAUAGAUGUCUCUAUAAAGGAUAAAUAAAUAAAAAGUACAAAAAAAGUAGAAAGAAAAGCGGGUUUUUCUCAACAAAUGGCUAGCCUAAGACAAAGUUCAGGAUUCUGACACAUAAACAUUGUACUCAACAAUGGCAUCUCCCGUAUUAGCAUCAAACCAAACCGUAUGGGCCAAGGCAUAACCUCGAGCAAACCUAAACUGCCCAGUGCCUCCAACAACUGGCAUCUCUCUCACAUCAUUCAUGACCGGAUUCCUCCCGAGAAUGCUAAUGCUACUCCCCUUGUACUUGCCUUCCACAAAAACAAAAUUCAUGACCAUAAGGAAUGCAAAUUCAUCUGCUUGUUGUGAAGCCACUGAGUAAAACCCUUGUGCUCUUCCGAUGAGCGUGGAGGCACGGUCUUGCUCUUCAGUCAGUGCAUUAUCGAUCAUCAUAGUGCUGCCAAAGCCUGCAGCGGUACCAUUUGGUGGCCCAAUAAUUCUAACAGAGGUUGGGUUUUUGCCACCAAGGAUGUCAUGGAAGAAAAAGUGGAGGUGGCUUAAGAUUUCUGUUUUCCCGCCGGAACUGACAAAUUGCCUGAUUAGAACUCCAUCAAUGGAAUAGAGAAAGGUUGAGUAGAGGAUGAAGAUAGAGUAGUAGAGAAACGAAGACAUAUUAGUCUCUCUAGCUAGCUAGUAUGUCACUCUGAGAGAGAGAGAGAGAGAGAGAGAGAGAGAGAGAGAGAGAGAGAGAGAGAGAGAGAGAGAGAGAGAGAGAGAGAGAGAGAGAGAGAGAGAGAGAAGAUG
rnacentral:lncRNA from 1 species